UACGUAGGGACCAAGCGUUGUUCGGAUUUACUGGGCGUAAAGGGCGCGUAGGCGGCGUGGUAAGUCACUUGUGAAAUCUCUGAGCUUAACUCAGAACGGUCAAGUGAUACUGCUGUGCUAGAGUGCGGAAGGGGCAAUCGGAAUUCUUGGUGUAGCGGUGAAAUGCGCAGAUAUCGGGAGGAACACCGGUGGCGAAGGCGGUUCUCUGGGCCUGUACUGGACGCUGAGGAGCGAAAGCGUGGGGAGCGAACAGG
rnacentral:rRNA from 1 species